CCAUUAUAGGCCUGUGACUUUGCA
rnacentral:siRNA from 1 species